rnacentral:rRNA from 1 species
AUUGAACGCUGGCGGCAGGCCUAACACAUGCAAGUCGAACGAGUGGCGGACGGGUGAGUAAUGUCUGGGAAACUGCCUGAUGGAGGGGGAUAACUACUGGAAACGGUAGCUAAUUCCGCCUACCAUCAGUUGAGCCUAGAUGGGAUUAGCUUGUUGGUGGGGUAACGGCUCACCUGGGCGACGAUCCCUAGCUGGUCUGAGAGGAUGACCAGCCACACUGGAACUGAGACACGGUCCAGCCUCCGACGGAAGGCAGCAUUGGGAAAUAUUGCACAAUGAGGGCAAGACGGAGGCAGCAAGGCGGGGGGUAGGAAGAAGGCCUUCGGGUUGUAAGGUCCUUUCAGCGGGGAGGCGUUACCCGCAGAGGAAGCACCGGCUAACUCCGUGCCAGCAGCCGCGGUAAUAC